GUGCCUUGCCACUCGCUCGCACUUGAAAAACCAAAGAACCUAUCCCCUUCCCCCCGAGUCGCUCGCACUGGCUGCUUCGGAGGAGCCAAACCCUAGCUAGCAACUCCUACCCUGACUCUCCGCCUCCCCCUUCGUGCCCAUAGACGGCCGCCGCCACUCAGGUGCGUCGGCCGCAUCCGUCCGUCGCGCUGCCCGUCUCCCUCUAGCGACGUCGACCGUCACGCCCCCACGACGGCGAGCCGGCCGCCGCCAUCCUCCUUCGCGCUGGCCGCCUCCGUCCCUCAUGUCGUCCUUGCACCGCGGGCCACCGUCCUCCUUCCUCCGUGCUGGCCGCCUCCCUCGAGGCCGAGCCGCCUCCCUCCAUCGUGCGUGUCCCUUCUCUGUCCUACCGACGCCGGCAACAUCGAGGAGAUGACGCCCGUCAAUGAGUGGACCUCGCCGGCGUGCAGCUCGGCGUCGGUUAGGAAGAGAAUGGUGCCAGGCUGGUGACAGCCUGUUGGAUCUUCCUCGCCAACAGCUGAGCCGACAGAUCAGUUUGUGCUGAGAUGAUGCGCACGUACAAGUAGCAAGCUAGCAAUCAAGUGGAUGCUUCCGUGGAAGCUAUCUUUUUAUCUACGACUUGAUCGAUUGAUUUGAUCUCAGCGGAACAACACACACGAACAAAUGUGAUCUUGAUGGCUAAUAGGUGCAUUGAACGUGGAUUCUGAGGCCUAUGGCUGAUACGACCUACUUCUCCCUGUGCUUCAGCAUAAGGUAUCAAUUUGCUGCUUCAUGUUCUUAGUAUUUUUUGCUUGCUGGUUUGAGCUGACGAGAUAUGACUUGUGGUGGAUGGGCCGCGAGAGAAAUCUGGUGGACAUGGUGAAAACAUGGUACUGUGUACUGAUGGCAGCUUGGAAAUGAGGAAGCUGGAUUCUUGUCAUUGGCAAAUAUAAGAAAUGAGAAUUAUAACUAUGUGUAUGCUGAAGAAACUCUAGGAAAUUAUGUGCCAUCAAUGUGACGCUCAAAUCUAGACGGGUUCGAGCGGCUUGGAUAUGCAUCCCACUAAACGAUGUGCGCCAACGGUAUUAUUUGAUGUCGGUGUCCCCUUUUAGGACAAUUAUUCUUAUUUGAUUUUGCACAUCUCUCCAAGGUGCUAUGUCUGUUGGGUAAGGGUAGUCUUCAUUCUUUAGAUCAGGGUUGGCUCAUCAUAAUGGUUACAUUGUAGCAUUGUUUCAUUUGUGAGCUGGUUAAGAUUUAAGAGUAGUGCCUACAUAAUUCAACUUUUUUCUGCAACUAUUAUACUUAUAAAUGCUGCUGAGUGAUUCUCAUGUUUCUUAAGAAGACUGUCUACUGUAUAUAAAGUCUAAUAAAUCUUAGAUUGCAUCUCCAGUGGUCUUUAGCUACAAAUACGAUCAUCUAAAUACUACUUCGAUGAUGAUCGUCCAUUGAAAGGCCUAUAUGUUAUUAUUAUUAUUUCCCCAAAUAUAAUCAAUGCCAGUCAAAUAUCUUCAUGUUCUUCUUAAAUACUUCCUUUUUUCAUGUCAGGAACUUAUGAUAGGAUUUUACUAUAUUGAGCCAUCUUGUGUAUUUGUACACAGAAUUACAACUAUGUGUACGCUGGAGAAACUCUAGGAAAUUAUGUGCCAUCAAUGUGAGGCUCAAAUAUAGACGGGCUCGAAAGGCUUUGAUAUGCAUCCCACUAAACGACGUACGCCAAAGGUAUUAUUCGAUGUCGGUGUCCCCUUUUAGGAGAGUUAUUCUUAUUUGAUUUUGCACAUCUCUCCAUGGUGCUAUGUUUGUGGGGUAGGGGUAAUCUUCAUGCUUUGAAUGAAACUGAUUUUUUUUCUAGCGAUUCUUUCGGCUGUUGACAUGAGGCAUACAGUUCUCUCAUACAUAAUUGCUGCUAAAUAAGUGAUACAAACAGAGUUUUGUAGUUAUGUGCUAACUCAUACAAACAUAUUCUAGCAAAAUGGAAAGAAUGUACUAAAAAGUAAGCCAUGAGCCUACAGUUUCUCAAGAUGUGUGUCAGUUUGGCGACACGACUGAUAACUGUGUCCUUUCUUUUUUAAGUGA